AGCAGCCGCGGUAAUUCCAGCUCCAAUAGCGUAUAUUAAAGUUGUUGCAGUUAAAAAGCUCGUAGUUGAAUUUCGGGAUUAGUACGUUGGUCGUGCCUUAGGUACGUACUGGUGUUACUGGUUCCUACCUUCUGACGAACCAUCAUGUCAUUAAUUUGGUGUGGCGGGGAAUCAGGACUGUCACUUUGAAAAAAUUAGAGUGUUUAAAGCAGGCUCGCGCUUGAAUACAUUAGCAUGGAAUAAUGAAAUAGGACGUUGACCCUAUUUUGUUGGUUUCUAGGAUUGACGUAAUGAUUAAUAGGGAUAGUUGGGGGCAUUAGUAUUCAAUUGUCAGAGGUGAAAUUCUUGGAUUUAUUGAAGACUAACUACUGCGAAAGCAUUUGCCAAGGAUGUUUUCAUUAAUCAAGAACGAAAGUUAGGGGAUCGAAGACGAUCAGAUACCGUCGUAGUCUUAACCAUAAACUAUGCCGACUAGGGAUCGGAUGAUGUUAUUUUUAAUGACUCAUUCGGCGCCUUACG
rnacentral:rRNA from 1 species